rnacentral:rRNA from 1 species
GUGCCAGCAGCCGCGGUAAGACGGAGGAUGCAAGCGUUAUCCGGAAUUAUUGGGCGUAAAGCGUUCGUAGGUGGCUGUUCAAGUCUGCCGUUAAAGACCGGGGCUUAACUCCGGAAAAACUGUGGAAACUGAACAGCUAGAGUAUGGUAGGGGUAAGGGGAAUUCCCGGUGUAGCGGUGAGAUGCGUAGAUAUCGGGAAGAACACCGGUGGCGAAGGCGCCUUACUGGGCCAUAACUGACACUGAGGGACGAAAGCUAGGGGAGCGAAAGGGAUUAGAAACCCCAGUAGUCC